rfam:Lyngbya majuscula 3L genomic scaffold scf52117, whole genome shotgun sequence.
GUCACGAACCCACCGCCCACGCCUAACGGCUAUAACGGGGGCUUGAAAAAGUCCAUGACGUGACCAGCCUAAGACUAUUGAGUCUACGUUUUUUGAGCUAUCACACCUUUAGAUGCGUCGCUAGUCUUCUGCUCUGUGGUUAAUAGUUAAACAGUCAUAAACGGGUUAAGACAGUGCUAUUAACAAGACAAACUCAAAAAACAUUGGCUAAGCGAACUCAC